GGGAGCGGGGGGAGGAGGAGGAGGAGAGAGCAGAGUAUACCGCAGACAUCAUUUCUACUACAGUGGCGGAGCCGUACAGGACCUGUUUCACUGCAGGGGGAUCCAAAACAAGCCCCGUGGAGCAGCCGCCAGAGCUACAGCAGCCGCAAGACACUGUUUCUCUCCCUCUGCCCCCCCUUCCCCACGCAACCCCAGAUCCAUUUACACUUUACAGAGCAUCGUGCAGCAAGUCACCAGGGUGGUCCCUUCAAGCUGCAGAUUUGUGUGUCAUCCUUGUACCACAGUCUCCUCCUCUACGGCCACUACAGGGAAGUCCAUCACAUAUCAGGUCACAGAGAGUGCUGGUGGACAUCUCCUCUUGCCCCAAGAUCUUCGUUGGAAGUCCACGGGACUUGGUGUCUUUGCCGUUCAAAGUGUAUAUGAACUCUCCAGGAGGCAUAAUGCGUCACCAUUUUAUUCUGGGCCACCCUAAAGGAUGACACCCAGCUUCAGAGACCUCCUCUUGGACUUCACCCCUGAGAACCAGUGGUUUAGCUCUCCCGUUGUCUGAAAUCUGUUUCCGACUGAUUUUCAGCUGGCUCAGGCUUAGUCAUUAAAUGGCCAGGACAAUGUUGAAUAUUCUACUUGAUCAGCUUGCAGCUGUACACCUUUUGUCACUUUCAGAGCAGCAACUCCCUCUUCAGCUCUUGUCAGUCUUUACAUAGAUAUGCUAGAAAACAGGCACCAAUCCAUUCUUUCCAUCUUGGCGUUUGCCCACAGGCAUAGUCCUGGGAUGACCUGGAGUAAAGGCAGCAGAGGAUAAAUUCAUCUUGCACAGACUUGUUCCUGCUCGUUCUGGCCUGUCUCUCCCCACAGAUCUAGCUUUUAAAUACUCAAGUGAUUGGUUUUGUGUAGGAAUGUGUGGAUUGUUGGGUUGGAAUAAUUUUCUCUCUGGAUUGCUAGUGUUUACAUAAGCAGAUAUAAAAAAAGGUUCUAUCACGGAUUUACAUAGCAGGGCUUAUUUCAAAAAGUUACAGGUGCUUACCAAUGGCACAGAAUAAAAAUGUAAUUUUUUUUAUUACAAGUUGUAACAAAACCAAAAGGUGUGUAUUGAUUUGUGUCAGGAAAGGGUCAAAACUGAAAAUUUGCAACAAAGUCAAACCAGAACAGAGCAAGAGCAAACAGAAGCUGACAAAUAUAUGCCCCUUGUUGGGAGUUCAGCCCAUGGAAUGUUAUGUAGGACAAAAGGAAUGGAAGAGAUAUUUCAGUAACAUUUUGUUCUCUGUCAAAAACCUUCUGAAGUAUAAAUCUGCUGUGUAUUGGAGAAAGGAUACAGCAAUUGAUUCAAGUUGAAUAGCUUUCAUUUAUCUAGAAAUUCCCACAGAAAGCCGUUCUUGUUCUGACAACCAUAUUUUUGCUUUCCUUGACUUAAAGAAAAUUGAAUUCAUGUUUACAUAUCUUAUAGGAUUGUUUUAUAGACAAAGACACAGGUCAAAUCCCAUCCCAGCAUGGUGGCUAUUGUUAUAGCAAACAGAAACAUUUCUAAAUGAAAUAAAAACAUUUCUAAGCCACGGCCUGUGGCCCGUAGUAAUAAGACUAGGUUGAUAUUAUGAAACCAUUUGCAACUAUAAAUAAUUCAGUCAUAGAUGUGCUUUUUGUUUAAUUGGGUUUUUUUUCAAAUUCUAGUCUCUUGCCGACACACGUACUCGUACAUGUACUUUACCUGUUUGCGUAGUAGAGAAGGAGGAAUAUGAAUAUGUAUAAAUAGGAGUCAGCUUUAUUUUGGACUUUCUGGAACAGAUCACCUUUUUUCUUCUCCUCAUGGUGGCCCCCUGAAUUGCUUACACUUAUUGAAAUCUCAUAAUUGCCCACAAAUAUGGACGUGUUGUUUUAAGGGUCUUGCCAUGUCAGCCAAUCCAGUCAAAAGCUAGUAGCCAAUGUCAGUGGUUUAAGAAGCUGAACUUCAGAAGUAGGACCCCCACGCCAAGGGUAUUCUGUUUUUAUUCCCCGUUUCUGCACUUCUCAAGGAGAAGUUAGGUGCUGCUUGUUUUGUUUUUUGCAAUUCCCAGACUAUUCUGGCAUUGAUCCUGGAAUCAUUGCAAGUGUAAUUUUUAGCAAAUAAUGAUUACUCCUGAAACAUUUUGGCUCUCUGUGGCCUAUGGUUCAGUAGAAUCUGAGGUUUUCCAGGUCCAUCAAGGACUUAAAUACAGAACGUCUUCAAGUUUAGAGGUGUGGCUCAGAAGAAAACUUCUCUAGGAAUAAACGUCUGUUAGGUUUUCGCCUUCCCCCUCCUUCAAGGUUCUUAACUGGGUGCCUUAUAUUUUAUUUCCUUUCUGUUUUUCUGCUGAUUCACUGCUUGGGUUUAUUGUUUUCUAUUUGGGAACAGCUCUGAAAAAAAUACACAGCUCUUAAACAUAUAAAACAGUUCCAACCUGCUUAUUCUUACCUUGACCAUCUUUUCUGUCUUCUUGCCAGACCCCUGUUUCUCUUUCUGCUUCUCUUCUGGGAUUUUAUCUGGCUCAGCAGUUCUAGUGUGUGAUUCUGAAUUCUAUGGUUUGAGUUUCCUGACCAACUUCUCCUUGCAUUUGAGUCCACUUCCUGUGCUUAAAGCUUUGGCAUUCCAUUCACCGAUCCCAGUCAAAACUGAAACUUCUAGUGCUAAUGAGAUUAGUCCUUACAACACUAUUAAUUUCUUCCUCUCCAUUUCUUACUCCAUUGCUGCUCCUCAAAGACAAAAAUGCAUUUGUGAUCGAGAACUUCAUUUUGUUGCCACUUCCUAAAGACCUCCUGCAUUUUUCUGUUUUCCUCAUACACUCUACAGCUUCAAAUGGCAGUCGCCAUCAACAGCUCCUUGACAAACUCAUUGUCCCUACACAUGGUUUACAAUAUUACACUAGCUGUUUAAGAAUAAUUAAGCUUCUCUCAGUGUUCUUUGCUGUGGGUCAGGAACUUUACUUGCUUCGCCGUCCAACACAGAAGUUAAUCACAAACGGGUCCUCUGAACCAAAUAAUUAAAAAUAGAGCAAAGUUUCUGAACCAGGCGGUUGGCAGAAAAGUCUGUACUUCCAUCUGUGCACGGUUAGGAAAAUAUUUCAGGAUAUUUAAAUAGCAUCAGCUUUGCUCUCUUUUGUGAGAGUGUAUCAAUGUGACUGUGUGUAUUUCAUCGCUCUGAACGUUUGUUUGUCUUUUAGCUAAUCUUAUAUUUUAAAAAAAGUUACUGGCAAGGAAACAGGAAGGCAGGUCCAGGUGUUUUGUGCAUUCAUUCUGCAUUUGCCAGUUUCUUUGAAGGAGGAAUGGUCUUGCUUUUCUCUCUGAUGAACAUUUUUCUCUUAGAGUGUGCCUCAGAAAAAAUUAAAGCGCAUUACAUUUUGACUUUGAAAUCUUUAUGUCUUUUGCUUCUCUACCUACAAAUAACCUUUGCUGAUAGCUUUUAAGAGCUGUUCGUAGGCACGUAAAAUGUGGAUGAAUCUAUUUCAGUUCGGAAGGUGGCACUUGAGGAGUUUCUGCUCCUUGGAAGCGGGUUGAUGCCUGGAAUAUACAUCAGAUCAGACUCAUAAACACUUUGUGACGUAGGUACAGACAUGUGAGUGACUGAUUUUGAGAGAAACUUAAUCCUUCAACUUGGACUUUUCUUUGUUCUUACCAAAAAUCCAUAUCUCAUCAAAUAUGUUCAGUAUUGGCCAAUUCUACAACUGUAGUAUGACUUUAAAAAUAUAUUUUUUGUUGAUAAGGUUUUAGUUGCUAUAUAAUAUUAAGAUUAUUCCUCUCUGAUAUUUUUCUAUUGGAACUAUCUCUUUUUAUUUCUGGAAAACUCUUCUUUUUAGGUUGAUUUUCUUUCUCCCAGGAGAACCUUUGUGUUAAAUAACAGCUGAUGCUCAAUAAAUAUGCCAAAGGGAGAUUAGGAAUUAUUAAAAGAAAAAGAAAAAAAGGAAAUGUCUUAAUUUCAUUCCUUUGGCUCCAAAACAUAUGUGUUUCUCAAGAGUCGCCAGUUUCUUUAUGCUUCUAGAAACUUAAAGCCUAGACAUAGUCUUAAUCCAAUGAUAAUAGAAUGAAACACUGAAAUUCAGAGCUGUGGAUUGACCAUGCUUACAUUGAUUGAAAUUAAGGAAGGAGGAAUAUCUUCGAUACAUUUUAUUAUUAAGGUAGCAGUGAACCCUUGAGUUUAACUAUGAAAUAAACUAUAAUCAGUGAUAGUCUGAUGAUUUAGGCAGUUUGUCAUUCAUGAAAUUUACAAUUUAAUAUUUUGAUCAUUUAGGCAGUUGGUUAUUCAUGGUAUCUAAAGGACUGUACACAUCUUUUUGUACAACCUCCUCACUUUAUAUUCAACUCAAUUUUGCUCAUUUCUUGUAAACCUACUACGUGCAAGGCACUAUGCUAGGAGGGAACAAGAAGCUGACUAAGUUGUGGCCUGUGGCUUCAAGCAAAUUAAUCCUUGAUUUCCUUUUCAGUAUUGCUUGAGGGGACAGCUGUUAAAAAGGAAUAAGUGGAUUUUGCUAGUUGUUUUCUUUGUCAGCGUCAGAUAUUAGGAUUUAACAUAUUUCGUGAACUCUGAAUACACAUAAAAGUGAAUGGUAGAUGCCUUUGAACUUUAACGUUAAUGCUGGAUUGGUCUUCUCCUAUCUGAGACAGCUAACAUUGCUAACGUUAAGUAGACUCCUCUGAAAACGGAGCCUGGAUACCCAAGUUCUUCACCCUUUUCUUGUGUGACUGUUAAAUUUGUUUCUGUCAUUCGUUUGGGCGUCUUUUAGACAGCGAAAUAACGGAAUUUCGGUUAAAAACACUGCACUUGAUUGUUGAUAUCUUUGUUCAAGAAAUCAUUCAGUUAACAAAUUUAUUUACCAGAAGCAUGAUCAAAAACAUAAGAAACAGUGUACACACUUGAGAAAGGUCAUUGGCCAGAGAACCUAUUCUUUCAAUAAUAAUAAUAACUGGCUGGCAUAUUGAGGAUUUAGGAUGUGUCAGUCACUGUGCUAAUCACUUAAUCCUCCCAGUAAACCUAGAUAGGUAGUUAUUAUCUCCACUUCACAGAUAAGGUAACUGGGUUAGUAGCUUGCCCAAGGUCACAGAGCUAGUAAUUGAUGGAACUGGGAUUCAACUCAUACCACUUUAACUUCAGACCCUUCGCUCUUAACUAACUGUACUUUAUUGCCUACAACCCAUGUCACUGUGGGACUUGCAAAAUUAUUUUUAUAAAUAUUGAGUAUGUACAAAAGCAUAGUCACAAACUAAGGUAAAUGAUAAAGAAUAAGGAUUCAGUGAGCACUCAAGUAACUCUCCCUCCAAAUUUAAAAAUUAUCACAAAUUUGAUGUCUAUGUGGGGCCCUCCCCAUCCCAUCACUUUCUUCCCAUCUCAGAAGUAACCACUAAAGAAAAAUGAUGUUUUAAAAUAUUUUUAACAAAAGUGCACAAAUACGCAUCCCAGCCAGAUGAUUAUUUUGUUUUCCUUCCUUUUUCUCGUCUCUCUUCCCUGCUCUGUCAUCUCUUUUACUUCUUCCCCCUUUGUUCUCGUCAUCGUGGAGCAGAAAGAGGAACUGAGUCAGACUCCUAUAGAAAGGUUAGGGAGAGUGUUCUCUGCUGUGGUGUUCAGGCCAAAGUACCAUGCCUAGAGCUGGGGAUUCUUAGUGAGGUGAGAAUUUCUUUGGUGUAUUCAAAUGACGCAUCUCCUCCCAAGCAAAGCGUGCCGUGGAGGGAUUGUCAGAGACAGACCACCCUGGGGGGGUGAUUUAAUGUGACUGUGCUGACAGAUCUCUAAAAAGUUUGUCGGGUUAUAAUUCACAAAUAUUAGCUCUGCAGACAUGUGUUUCCUUAAUAGUGUGACUCUUAAAAUAGCGAUACAUUUUUGGUAACCAAUGCGAGGGCACUUCGUAACACAAUCAGAGACCAUUGAGUGGAACAUGUUAAGAUAAUAUAACCUUGUUGUCCCUCAAUGCUUCAGUGCAAUCUUUCAGCAAGUAGUAAUACCUGGUACAUUAUGUAAAAAUCAAAAUGGGUUCUGGCCGAGUGGGGAUAAUAUAAUUCUUUCAUCAGUUGGAAAAUAUAUUCUCAUAAUUAACUACAUUUAAAAAAAUAAGCAAAGAGUUUCUGUUUUUGGUUCGUAAAUGUGCUCUGCUGCAUGAAAAUUUUUUCAAGGACCAUACAAUUCUGUAGGGGGAGAUGGCAAUUUAAUGCAGUCUUAGCUAUUAAGGAUUUAGAAUCAUGUUACUUUUAAGUUACUCCCAUGUAAUUACAAAAAUAUGUAGUAAAUUUUAAAAGAUUAAAAAGAACCACGUCUGGCUAAACAUAAAAUUGCUUAUAAGCAUGUGUGUAUAUCUGUCUGUAGUCAUCGGCACAUACGCAUUUGCAUCUGUCUGUGUGUAUUGAUUAAUAGUCUUCUAGUGCUGUGUGCGUUUGUGUGCAUAAAUAUCAUACGCACUCUUUAUAGAACUAAUGUUCAGGGACUCUUUUAUGACCAACUAUAUGAUUUGGAGCUUUAUCAAAUAUAGUGAUAUUUCAGUGGUCAUGUUUUUGGCCUGUGAUAAUAAGCAGUAUAGUAAUGAGAUGGCAGUGUCUGUGUCUAUCUGUACCUUCUAUCUCUUAUCUUUUUGCUUAGAAAAAAAAUCUACAUUGAAAGAUACUGAUGUACCUAUUAAGCUUCAAAUAUGAAAAAAAAAGCUAAAUAUGACACUUUGCAGUUUUGUCCAUUGUCUCAAAAACAUGCUGGUAAAAAUAUGGAAACUAGAAAAAUCUUGGCAAAGCCUGGUAGCCUAAGAGCAUAGCUGAUUUAAAAGUUUCAUUUAAGUAUUCUAAGCACUGUUCUGUGACAGCUAUUACUAUAAUAAUUGGCAGCAGCUAAGAAAAUUUAUAGUUUAAUACUUUAGGGCAAAUAAUUGCUUAGGAUGCUUUAAAUAGCACAGGAAAUGUGUCGAGUGUUUACUUGACAUUUGUUAUAUUGAACACUAAUACUGAAACAGAUUCUUUGACCACAGAGAAUGCCAGUGUAGGUGGGGUGGGGGUAGACGGGAGAAAGAGGCAGACAAAAAACAGCCAAGACGAUUAGAUAAAAAUUAAAUGGCAAGUGAGUUUUUUCAUGAUGUAGAGAUGCCAGGAGAAAAUGCCCAUUUGUUCGAUCAAGUAGUCUUGGAGUGUGGUCGCAGAAAGCUAAGUAAAACCACUCCCUCAGAUUUGGUUUCUCCUGGUUUUAAGAAACUGAAUUAUGUGCUCUGGGCUGUCUUCACCAGGGGUCAGCCUCCCAGCCUUUGGCCGCUCUGGUUUAUUUUUUAAGGUCCUGAAAGCAAGAGGAAUGACCUCCCUUUUUUAUAAAAAAGAAAAAAAAACCCCUCUUGUUAUCUGUUUAAUCUGCAUGCUUGUGAAUGUUUUUUUAUGACAGCCCUGGCGCCCUCGUUUCUCAGUGCAGCUCAGUACUUGAUGUUUUUCUCCUUACAUCUUGCACUCCCAGAAUCUUCUCUUUCUUCCCAGGCACUCUUCAUGCGGGUCUUAUCUUCAAAUGGGGUGUACUGUGGGUCUUAAAUGCAGGGCAGUUCUUUUUGCACACACUGCUUCCUGUGUGCAUUGUGAUUCGGCUGCAUUUAAUGGGAAAAAAUAGGGAAUAUUGUAGGCUGCUAAACCGUGUCCCAUUCAUGUGUAUUCGAGUCAGUUAUAUGGUGUCUUAAAGGGAGUUUUAAAUGCAUAUGUUAAAAACUAAUUGGCAUAUGUGAUAGGUCCAAGGAUGUGAAGUUGUGCAAUGUUAAUGAAAUUUGUUAAAAGCGUCUUCCUUCUAUCUUGUCAACAUGAGCUGCUUUUAAAUACCCAAGGGACUUUGGAAAAACAACAAUCAGAAGUCAAAACUUUGCCAUGCAGUAUGGCUCAGCACCCGGAACGCUCAGCAGCCCAGAGGCUGUAUUUAUGGCUUUUCCACUGACUUGAGAUUUGACCUUGAAUAAAUCAUGUUUAACUUC